GCUGCUAAACCUAAUUGAGUCGCAGCUCGGAUAACAAAACGGAAAAUUGCUUAAAUUGCUCUAAGUGCUAAGUUUGCUGCGUAUUGCGUCUCCCCGCGCCUUCUCACAUAGGACUCCUUAUAUACUCCUCCAAAGUCGAUUUUAGCUUUUUCCCUUCUACCCUUAAGCCGUCAUAGCUCAAAAAUGGAGAUAUUCCUAGUUUCCCGACCUUCGUGAUUAUCUUCUGAAACUUCCCAUUUUUUCCGCGGAAACUUGACAUUUAUCUUGCCUUACGAACCAAGCAUAAACCGUCAUAAGGCUUAUGGGUUUUUGGUUAAGAAUUCGUAAAUAGGCUUUGAGCUGCGUUUUAGGUCUCUUUGGGCCAUCUUUGACUCGAAACGUUUUUUACGGUUUCUUCGAUAAAAACGAACUUCUCGCGGUUUUUAUCGUAAAGUUUGACUGAUAACUUCAAGUGAUGAGAAACAAAUAAUGGUUUAGCCAUGGCUUACGGGAGAUAGCAUUAAAGAGUAGACGAUAAUGCAUGGAUUCGUGUCGUAUCGACGUUUUGGAAUAGUUCGGUCGGUACGUAGCGAUCGGGCUGUGUUCGUGCCCGAUCACUACGUAGCGACCGAGCUUGGCUGGAGUUCGGUCGCUACGUAGCGACCAGCUCGUGCGCCGGCCAAUCGCUACGUAGCGACCUUGAUCUUUCUCCGAUGUUUCGUGAACGUGUUUUCUCCGCAAGAUUGUUCGUAAAAAUAAAUAUUUUCGAAGAUUUAUUUUUCGUAAAAAUGUUCAUGUUAAUCUUUACGGAUAUCUGAAUGUUUUUUUUACCCAACAACUGAAUAUUAUUAAUUUUAUGUAGUAUAGUCUAAGCUAAGCAAAGAACACUUUCAAUCUUGCUGGUGUUCUCGUUUUAAUAGGCCAUUUGAUAAACUUAAGUAGUAUAGGCUCAUGGUACGCAAUAUUUAUUUGGGUCUUCUCCUUGCUCCAAUUGGUGUCUGCAAAUGCAUAUGAUAAAUCCCUUUUGAUGUGAAAUAGAAGUAGACCCUUGUGAAUGUUGUUGUACAUGUGUGUGUGUUGUCUUCUAAACAAACGAUUACAUUGUAUCAUCUAACCAUCACUAUAUUAUGAAAUAGUUAAUACUUACUAUAUGUUUAUGUAGUAUAGUAUAACAUAAAGAAAUAACAUUUUCACUCUUUGAAAUUGGAUUCCUUCUGUUAGGCCUAUGUAUUUGUUUACGUCCUACGGGAGUUAUGCAUUUUGUGAUCCUUAUAACAUUUAUUUCGUUUGCUGGGAUGGAAGAGUUAAGUUUGCCAGAACGUUUGUUUUACACAGGGUAUGAACCCACGCGCCAGAAAAGAAUUAACAACUGCUUCAACUUGCGGUGGAUUGAGAUUGUAAAAGCAGCACUUUCAGAUUCUCAGCAGUAGGUGUUGGCUGAAUCUCAGUUUAGACAACUAAUGCUUAUGGGGGCUCAUACAUUUUUCAUCAUGUUCGCCCACCAGAUUUUGUCACGGCAGUUGGUGACUAGAAAACUGUAUGAGCUGUGGCGGUUGUUUGCAGGGGAACCAAUUCGAUAUGGUAUUGGGGACUUUGCAUUGGUUACAGGUCUCAAUUGUGGGACCCCGCCUACCCCGAACGUAGGUGGGCAGAGGAUGACGAAUGGGAAAAAAAGGCAAAGCAAGUAGGUGGCGAUGGAGUCGUGUGGCGAGAAUUAUUUGCAUCUUAACAUUCCUGUUUGAUUUAAGGUUUAUGGAGACUAUACUAUAUUUGUCAUAGUCUUGUCUUGUUUUAUCUGUUCAAGUAUCGAAGUUGCCCAACUAUUAGUUAUCCCACAAGUCAACCAUUUUCACUUUCCCUUUUGGUUUGUGGUCUUUUUGCAAUGGUCCAUCCACCAACGUAAACACCCUUGUGUAUGAAACAGUGCAUGCCAUCUUAAUCUGACUAUACUAUACGGUGUAUAGUAUAUGUUUCUGAAUUAGAACGACUCCUAUUUGGUCAACCAACGUCCCCACCAACAGCGACGUGCAUUUCACCGUAUUAACCCCUAUUAAUUUUUCCCUAUUCGUUACGGUUAUCUCUGUUGACCUCUUACUGUCUUUCUUUUUCCUUCCUAUGUGAGUAUCGUAUGCAAAUUUAGUAUGUAAUUCCAUGCAAUUGGAAUGAUAUGUCACUUUUAUUACUCCUACACCUCACGGGAGUAGGGGUCUUCAUUUAUAUUACACAAAAAAAACAUUUUACAUCAUGGCGCACAUAUUACCAACAUGUGUAGACACAAUAUUACGACUACACUGUACAUGCUAUAUUCUGGUCUCGUUAAUUCAUUUAACGUUGGCAGGUGACCAACUAUUUGUUAUCCCACACCUACGACAUUCUUGCCUUCCGCCUAUGGUUAGUGGCCCUUUACUGCAGACCUUUUUAUGUUCACACAUGUAAUGCCUUUUUCUUCUAUUUACGUUACUAAACUACACCACCGAUAGUAUGGAACGACCACACCUACUUAUGAUUGGAAAUUUUCAAUUUCAAUCUAUUAUAUUUUCGGCCGUCUUUAUAACAUCUGGUCUCUUUCUGUAUCAUAACUUAAGGAAUUUUACAUAUACGGCAUCCGGUGCGUAUGGUAAGCCGUAUGACAAAAUACUCUGACAAAAUCUUACUUUACAUAAUAUUGUUUACGUCUUUAUCACUCCAAUUUAGACUUUGACCCCCUUCCCCACCUACACUACGUCGUUUUUCACCUCAUUUACCCUUUCUAUUACUCGUGGAGUUGUUGCUAACGGUUAUCUUACUUGGAGUCUUAGUGUUUUAGUUUUGCGUUCAUGUCUGAAUAUACUAUUAUAAUUGUAGUAUGUUAGUGCUCUCACUUUCAAUACCAGCUCGAAGUUUUUUAAUCAAAUACUACAUGUGGUUAUGGUAUUGAAAUGACAUCCUAUACUAUCUAUAUGUUUGGUAUAAGGGAGAAUUGCGCACAUGGUUUUUACUUCUUCCUCUUUCUUCACGCGCACGCGCUAGGCAGAGAUCGUUUCAGGGAAUUUUGACCAAAACCUGUCACUUCUGUGGGUCCGUACUGUAGCAUGAUUAUUUUUUACAUUCUUCACUUUCUUAUGAAUAUCCGCCAAAUUCACCCAUAUUCAUGUGAGAAAUUUGGGCUCAUGCAUAUAGCAGACCGGUAAAAUAAGUUUUUACCUAUAAGCCGUGGAUGACUACGAUAUUUUGUAUAUUUUAUGUAUAAUACCCAAAAUAUCCAUCAAGUGCGCGUGAGAAAACGUAGGCCCCACAACGUCUUCUGUUUUCGAUAAACAAUGGAAACUGAACAAUUUUCCCUCAGUUUCGAAAACAAAUGAACCCAACAAAAGAGAGACUUGGAUAGCAAAGAAGUUUAUCGCAACUGUGUAAGAUAAAAGGGUUCGGGUGGUGUUACGCAGAAGGAGAGCGAUUGCGUGACAGGAAAUUAGAAGAUCGUUUAAUAGAGGCGGUAGUGAUUAAUGGCUGGAGCAACGAUUGGACAGUGGAAAACGGGGCCGGAAUCGAGGUAUAUGCAUGGUUGAUUUACUAGGGCAAAAUCAUAGUUUAUGGUUCUCGCCGUCCACAAUAUUGGGUUUUACCUAAGUUAAAUCGGAACUCUCCCAUAAACUGCAGUUCUGGGUCGGAACGGGGAACAAAAGCGGAAGAGAAAGGAUGGAAGAGUUUGGUUUUCCAGAGCGCUUGUUACAGAAAGGUUAUGAACCUACAGGCCGUAAAAGAAUAAACAACUGCUUCAAUUUGUGUUGGAUUGAGGUCGUAAAAGCAGCAUUGUCAGAUGCGCAACAAGAGCCCUUAGCGGAAUUACAGUUUAGACAACUAAUGCUAAUGGGGGCGCAUACGUUUUCUUAAUGUUUGCACACCAGUUAACGGUUACGUAACCAUUCUAUUAGGUUUUUAUAUAUAGAAUAGUUAUAUCUUGCAGUACCAAUGCUUUAACUGUAACACGUCCAUUGUUUACACGCCACAAGAUUAUUGUGUGUUGCAACGCAUGUCCUUAUGGAACUUAAUGCGAAAUGGAGCCUGAACAAUGCAGCCCAACUAACAUAAGACGAUCUUGGCACUACAACACAGACAUACGCAGUAGAAGCUUUCUUGUGCUUCAACCCCGACCACCUCCAGCAAUUUCCUGUGGAGUGAUAUUUAUGUGUUUUACUUACCUACUAUGUUUCAACUUUUAAUGUUAUUGUAUUUGUGUAACCAAACGUUAAGAGCAACUCCCUUAUUGAUGAGGGAUAUGCUAUUUUAUACGCUAUCGUCCAUGUUAUCUUGUUGCAUACAUUACUAUUGUUACGUUAACCUUUUGUUUUGCCC